rnacentral:tRNA from 1 species
GUCGGUGUAGCGUAACGGCAAACGCACCUAGAAGCAUGCGGUAACAAGACUAGGAGAUAGAAGGCUCAACUCCUUCCACCGACACCA